rnacentral:rRNA from 1 species
CGGACGGGUGAGUAAUGCUUGGGAAUCUAGCUUAUGGAGGGGGAUAACUACGGGAAACUGUAGCUAAUACCGCGUAAUAUCGAAAGAUUAAAGUGUGGGACCUUCGGGCCACAUGCCAUAGGAUGAGCCCAAGUGGGAUUAGGUAGUUGGUGAGGUAAAGGCUCACCAAGCCGACGAUCUCUAGCUGGUCUGAGAGGAUGACCGGCCACACUGGGACUGAGACACGGCCCAG